rnacentral:tRNA from 1 species
GUCCAAGUGGCUCAGGGAUAAGAACACUGACUGAAACUCUUGAGGUCAUAGGUUCGAGUCCUACCUUGCCCA